UGUGUCGUUUUGCAUGUUGAUAUUUAUAGGUUAUAGGUUUUAGCUUUAUGCGUUUGCUGACUCGAUCAUGGGCCGAUGUCCGUCAUGUCUUCAAACUUAGAAGUCUAAGCUAAAUAGUCAUUGCAACAAUAAGUAUUUUCACCUUUGGUUACCAACCGAAAUAGCAUUUUUUACACGUUUCCUAAGCGUUGCUCUGUGUAUCGAAUCGUAACAGGAGAGGGAAAGGUUAGAACACCAUGUUCACCAAGUGCUCUGCGUGCCUGGCAAUUUCUCGUCUUACCACGAGAGGGCGGGUGACGACCACAUCGAUAGUGUCCUGUAUUGACGAGACAUGCGUUUCAUUAGUGAGAUGGCAAGGGCCACUGGCUGCAGCGUGCUCAAUGUAGGGCGGAGCUCGACGUGAGUAAGGGGCUUGUCGGGUUGGGCCUCCCCCUCCUGCAGCCAUAUGGGGUGCUUCUCUGUGCCACUGCCUGUGUGCUGACAGAGUGUGCUAGUCUGCUGCUGAAGCCUGCCUUCUCACGGCUCCCAUUCUGCCAGUCUGGUCUGCUCUGCUGUCAGCUCACAGAUCAGGAGGAACUGCCCACCAUACAUAGAACAGCAGUGAAGAAAUCUCAGCACGCUUGCACCGAUAUCGCCAGAGCCUCCCGAAGAACGCCAGCUGAAUGGUUUGCUUCACUCACCGUUUCUAUGUCAUCAUCCAAUCCGACUGUCUGUGGCUUUGUUGUCGCUCAGAUUUUGUUGGGCUCUUUAUUGUUUUUUUGUUUCGUUGAGUUUUAUUUUGUCAGGAUAUCUAAGUUCUCCUCGUGCCCAUUUUGGUCGGUGCGCUUCCUUUGUGUUAGGGAUGUGUUUUGGUGCUGCUGUCUCCAGGCUUGGUGCCAAGUCUGCCUAAUUAAGAUUAAGCAUAUGCAGAUCGGUCUUGUUUUGGCAAAUAGCAGCUGCAAAUACGUAUUUGUCUUGCGUGUGGUCUGUUGAUUGGCAAAAGG